rnacentral:rRNA from 1 species
CCUACGGGGGGCAGCAGUGGGGAAUAUUGCACAAUGGGCGCAAGCCUGAUGCAGCGACGCCGCGUGAGCGAUGAAGGCCUUCGGGUCGUAAAGCUCUGUCCUAAGGGAAGAAUAAUGACGGAACUUAGGGGGGAAGCCCCGGCUAAUUACGGGCCAGAACCCGCGGUAAAACGUAGGGGGGGAGGUUAACCCGGAAUAACUGGGCGUAAAGGGUGCGUAGGCGGCCCUGCAAGUCAGGAGUUAAAUCCCUCGGCUCAACCGAGGUCAGCUCUUGAAACUGUAGGGCUUGAGUGCAGGAGAGGAGAGCGGAAUUCCUAGUGUAGCGGUGAAAUGCGUAGAUAUUAGGAGGAACACCAGUGGCUAAGGCGGCUCUCUGGACUGCAACUGACGCUGAGGCACGAAAGCGUGGGGAGCGAACAGGAUUAGAUACCCUGGUAGUC